rnacentral:rRNA from 1 species
UGGGGAAUAUUGCACAAUGGGCGAAAGCCUGAUGCAGCGACGCCGCGUGAGGGAUGACGGCCUUCGGGUUGUAAAUCCUCUUUUCAGCAGGGAAGAAGCGAAAGUGACGGUACCUGCAGAAGAAGCGCCGGCUAACUACGUGCCAGCAGCCGCGGUAAUACGUAGGGCGCAAGCGUUGUCCGGAAUUAUUGGGCGUAAAGAGCUCGUAGGCGGUUAGUCGCGUCUGCUGUGAAAACUCGAGGCUCAACCUCGGGCUUGCAGUGGGUACGGGCUGACUAGAGUGCGGUAGGGGUGACUGGAAUUCCUGGUGUAGCGGUGGAAUGCGCAGAUAUCAGGAGGAACACCGAUGGCGAAGGCAGGUCACUGGGCCGCAACUGACGCUGAGGAGCGAAAGCAUGGGGAGCGAACAGGAUUAGAUACCCUGGUAGUCCAUGCCGUAAACGUUGGGCACUAGGUGUGGGGUCCAUUCCACGGAUUUCGUGCCGCAGCAAACGCAUUAAGUGCCCCGCCUGGGGAGUACGGCCGCAAGGCUAAAACUCAAAUGAAUUGAC